UACAGAGGGGGCAAGCGUUAUUCGGAAUUAUUGGGCGUAAAGGGCGCGUAGGCGGCAUGGCAAGUGGAAGGUGAAAUCCCUCGGCUCAACUGAGGAACUGCCCUCCAAACUGCUUUGCUUGAGUCCGGGAGAGGUGAGUGGAAUUCCCAGUGUAGCGGUGAAAUGCGUAGAUAUUGGGAGGAACACCAGUGGCGAAGGCGGCUCACUGGACCGGAACUGACGCUGAGGCGCGAAAGCUAGGGGAGCAAACGGG
rnacentral:rRNA from 1 species